CGGAUCGAACCGAUCGAACCGAUCCUCCGGCUGGGUGCGUGUAGUUCGAAUUCUGUAGUCGCACGGGGAACCCGCGCCCUGCGGACUGAUUUGUGCCGCGUCAAGACUCUCCGUGCUUACCUUACGGUGAUCGACACUCGCGAUCAGCAGCACGUUUCUACCCUCGUGCACCACGUGGCUACUGUCGAACGUGGCGAUCCUAUCGCGUCGCGACGUACCUGAAAUCUCAAGAUUGGGCAGUGGCCCUGUCGCGUGUCUCCGCUAGGAUUUACGCCAAGACCUGCCUGCUGAAAUAUGAAAACGGGCGGAAGAUUCUGCGGUUGGACUUUGCCACGAAGUUGUGGCUAUUCUUGAGGUUGGGUAUCGACGAAGUGAAGCAGGCAUCCGCACUAAGGGAAACUUGAUCAAAGCGUGUCACUUUUGGACGGUGGAAAGUUUACGCUUGAGAAACAGUGGACAGACAAAUUUCUCGCAUGACCGAUCUCGUAUAUCAACGAAGAAAAUUGUCACCAUAAAGAAUGUCACGUUGUUCUUUGGACGAUCUGUAUUAAGAAGACCUCCGGCAACUAUUGGAUCAAAAUCGUGAAUUUAUUCCAAGACUGAUUAAACGCGAAACUUCCGCGAAUACGUAUAAAGUGAAUGCUAAAUCAUUCGGCAUCGAAUACGAUUAAUCGUAUUAAGUGUGUGACAUAUCGAAACUCACCGAAGGAUAUAAGCGAGUUUCACAUGUUGUCAGAAAUGAGUGGAUCCGCCAGAUGAUGACGCGAGGAGUCUUGUGAUGAAGUGAGAUAUAAGUUUGACAAGUGUGUGUUAGCAAAAAUAAGCGUCAGUGUGAAUCGAAUUUCGAUAGAUAAAUUGGGUUGGAUACAAAGUUUGUGCAAAAAUAUGCGGAAACUGGAAAGACAUGCAAACUUUAUUAUUAGAGACAACGGACACGUUAAUGAGACAAUGUUCUCGUGAAGUUGAUAGGAUCGAGUCAUUUUCCUUUUCCUCUCCAAGAUAACGGCUAACUAUGAUCGAGGUCGCCAACAAAUAAAAAUAAAAAGCAAAAAGGUUUCUAGAAAGUUUGUGAGAAAAUCAAGAUAGUUUAAUCAAAAGAUGUAUAAAGGAAUAUGGAUAAAAAAUCAAAAUCAGAUUACCAUCAUAUAUAACGUUUGGAAGAAUUUACAUUUAACCAUAGUGUUUUCAAUCAAUAUCAAGAUAAUCAAAAAUCUACAUUUAUAAACAUAUUACAAAUAUAUCGCACAAAUAUAAAAACGGAAGCUCACAUAUAUGAUGUCUUAAACCUCGGGAAAAGGUAAAGGCCGUUACUAUUAAAAGAACGAGCUGUUUUAGACUGCCAUCUUGAAAAGUACUCUUAUAACGAAUAAAUCGAAGAGAAGAGGAUAACUCUUAUAUGUAACGAUAUCGUUUAAAGCACCAAAGUGUUUACGAGAGAAAGUGGGUGAAGAAAUAAAAAAAAAAA